rnacentral:rRNA from 1 species
AUGAACGCUGGCGGCGUGGAUUAGGCAUGCAAGUCGAACGCGAAAGUGGCCGCAAGGCUGCGAGUAGAGUGGCGAAAGGGCGAGUAAUGCUUGGAUGACCUACCCUCGAGACGGGGAUAACAGUUCGAAAGGACUGCUAAUACCCGAUGGUCCGUCCCGGAUACGUCCGGGCCGGUAAACGGUUGAUUCCGCUCGUGGAGGGGUCCAAGUCCUAUCAGCUAGUUGGUGAGGUAACGGCUCACCAAGGCAACGACGGGUAGGCGGUCUGAGAGGACGACCGCCCGCAUCGGGACUGAGACACUGCCCGGACUCCUACGGGAGGCUGCAGUCGAGAAUCUUCUGCAAUGGGGGCAACCCUGACAGAGCGACGCCGCGUGGAGGAUGAAGGCCCUCGGGUUGUAAACUCCUGUCACAUGUUAAGAAACGUACGGGUUCACUCGUACGCUGACGAAGGCAUGAGAGGAAGUCACGGCUAACUUCGU